UUUCAUAGAAACAUGGUUGAUUAACAGCUGCCUAAACAAUGGGCACUUAGUGCUUUUAAACUGAAUGCUUAUUUUUUGCCUCCAGGUCCAACACCCAAAGUGGAGUCCCUCCUUCACUAUGAACCUCCCCACCAAAUAUACGAUGAGCUUUGACCAAUGAGCCUGACCCUGCAAGACCAGUCAAAGAAAGAGUGGAUCUUUGGAAUCCAGCAUGGCAGCAGCAAGAACUGAACAAGGCUGCAUCAGGAACAAUUCCAGGGUCAAAUCCAUUCAAGUCCUGUCUGGGAGUCUGAGAAAGGGCUGAAGCUUGUUCAAGUUGCCCUUACAGCUGAGGGACUGAAGGAUGAGAUGUCAAAGGCGUAGGACUAGAGAAAGAGGAGAGCUGGUUAACACUGGAACUGAGGGCAAUCUGGCCAUGGCAUCUGUCACUCCACUCAGCUGCCAGUCAAUUAAUUUGAGAACCAAGUGAGGUUAUAUGUACCAAACUAAAACACAUCAGUACUAAAAAAUGAAUUAAGAUUAACUGGGUUCACAUGGAUCGGGUUAAAAAAGGAACAGAUUCAAAAGGGACUACAUUAAACUACAGAUUAUUUUUAUGGCCGCAAAACAAAAUUCAGACUAAACUCUGAAAUACAAUACCACAUCAGAACACAGACUUGGUCAGAGCUGACCUGAUGUCACUAUUAACAUCUACACUACAUUUCUAGUGCAUUUUCAAAUUUUCAAAACAUUUCCAAUGAGGACCCAAUAUUGUGUGUUUUCCAAAAGAGGAAGAGCUCGUGAGGCACCCAAGGGGGCUGCACAGGUUUCCUGAAUCUUCGAGUCUUAAGUUUUCCCCACUAGAUCCUGUUAGUGGCUAGGUUUUGGGGUUAAAACUAAUUUAUCCAGUUCCACACCCAAUUCCUGGAUCAACUCCAGGCAGAAUAAGUGUCACUUCUCUGAUUCACUGAUGGGAUGCUGGGAAUGACUACCUCCAUCAGACCAGUCCUUUCACUUUAAUAGUCAGCAACAAAUUCCUGUGAAAACAGCUACUGAAAGAUUUUCCAAAAACUCUACUCUCUUUGGAUGUAUGACGCGAAGGCGUCCCACAGCAGGAUCAGUGCCAAAGGGCCAGGCUGCCUUUCCUUCACAGACAAAGGUGGAAGUUACAUAUGACCUGGAACAAAUCCCAUGGACAGAGGAGCCUGGUGGGCUACAGUCCAAGGGGUCACAAAGAGUUGAACGGGACUUAGCAACUAAACAACGUGAUUCCACAGGAAAACAGAUACUGAGAUGAUCAGCCCAAGGAAUCAGGUUAGGAUACCCUGCUCCCUGGUGGCUCAAGUGGUGAAGAAUCUGCCUGCCAACGUAGGAUCACUGGGUCGGGAAGAUCCCCUGAAGGAGGAAAUGGCAACCCACUCCAGUAUUCUUGCCUGGAACAUCUCAUGGACAGAGGAGCCUGGUGGGUUACAGCCCAUGGGAUUGCAAAGAGUCCAACACAUCUGAGCACGCAGGUAUGCCCUGCUCCUCAGUCAAUGGCUCUUGUAGGGUCUUCCAGACCUCACUGCUCAGUCAUAUCCCCAAGGGAUAUGCUGAGAUACACAAGUGCUUCUUCUAUUGAUAAGCAACUUGAAAUCCCUUGAUUUUACCAUAAUAAAGACUACCUACAGUGACCAAACUGCUCCCCAAUCUGGGAAAUUGGAGCAGACAGCCUUCACUCAAGAUAGGCAUUCAUAGAUCAAGUAAAAAAAUCAGCAACUUCUCAGGAAAAUGAGAAGACUUUAAAUUAGCUGAAAUAAACCACCUCAGAAAUUGAGUCCUCUGGGAUUCCCAAGCAGCUUUAUCUGUUCUGGUGGGCAAAGAGAAAUAAUAAUCCUCACAUUCAGAAGCCUGAUCUAUUCUGGACUGCCAACUAACACACCUUUUAUUCUAGCCUUUCAGCUAUGAGGGAAAAAAGAAUUUUGUUCAGAGGGACAGGCAAAAAAAAUUGAAAUCCAUUUCUUUCUCUCUAGAGACUCUAAAGCUAAGGAAAUAAAACAUGCAGCCUUUUUUUUUUAAAACAUGCAGCCAUUUAAAAUGCUACAACCAUGAGGUGGAACAUCUUGAAAGCUCCUCACUCUGCCCCCUAUGGGACUAUGAUAAUCCAGAAGCAGGCUGCCCUUGGACCACAAUACAAGGAAGAACUCCUUGCUGGACUUUACAAAAACAACCCAAGAGACCCAUCAACGAUCCUGUCCCCAAGUGAACUGGGACUACGACUGUAACAAGAGACAACACAAACUUGGCCAAAUAACUAACCAAGUCAGGUAGUAAAGGGCAUUUGUAAGAGACAUACCUAUCCCUGCCCUCUGCUGUGGCUACACAUGAGGGCUCCAGGAUACGUGAAAAAUGUGAAACCAUCUUCCUCCAAAACCUCUAAGUCACCACUCCAUUUUCAGCAUUGGAAAUCUACACAUAAACAAGGCUUUUCCCUACUAACAGAGUCCAAUAUUUACCCUCCUAAGGAUAUCUUACAAGACAGAAAGUGAAACUGUGAUAUUUUUGCUUAUUUCAUUAUAUUUUCCUU